AAUUGGAAAAGCCCUAAAUUUAUUUCUUUUUCCUUAUUUCUUCUCAUUUGCACCGAUUCCCCUUUCUCUUCUUCUCGUGCCUUAGCCAUCACCACCGCCCGAACUCCUCUUCCUCUUCCUCUUGCCUCUGCCCAAUGCCGUCGACGUUGCCCGACACUGAUGGAUCGUCGACGCUGCUGUGGGAAGGAGGCAGUUGUUGAUCUCUUCAUCGCCACUCCUCUCCUUUCUCUCUGUGUCGAGUUCCCCUCUUCCUCGUGAUUUCCUCUUCUCCCAUGUUCUGCCCGACGUUGCCAUCCCGUCACCAUCGCCGAUCAUCGUUCACUGUCACCUCAUCGCCUCCUCGACCGAACGUGGCUAGCUCGCAACCAGACAUGACCAGCCCACAACCACUGCUGCUCACCCUAAUUUCGGUCAGUGCCCUAGUUCUCCAUCAUCGUGCCCUAUUUUCCAGAUGCCGCCUUCACCACUGCGCAUGCCACUUGGAUCUCUCCGACGAGAUCUCUGGCUGGGUCAACGACAGCCUUGAUAGGAAUCGAGGCUCCUUGUGCCCGUAGGUUGGUUCUUUGCUGCCAUCUUCCCUUAGGAAAUGCUCUACUUGUAGAUCCACUGUCAGCGUCUCAUAACCCUAUCGAGCCCUCUUCUCCCUCGACAUUAGUCUGAGCAGAAGGUUUAAUGCACUACCUCUCAGUUGUUGUGGCCUCUUCAAUUAGUGCUUCAUCUGAUGAGAUACUGCCGCUAGCUCUCCGUCGCCCGUCGAUCUGCUGUUGGAGCAAUAAUUGACAAUCAAGGAAGCAGGAGCUCCAUUUCCUCACCAUUUGAUCUGAGUUAUUCAUUUGAGCGAUUGGGAUUCUGAACUUGGUUGUGGUUAGUCAUUAAGCCCCAGCUGUACUGUUCAUGAGCGAUCCACAACUUCGACCACUUUUCCAAUAGUAAACUUCCCCGGUCACAGGUCAACGACUGCACAAUUGGUUUUGGGAUAUUAGUCAGAGACACGUCUCAACGUGGGAUUGUAUUGGCACGAUUUUCGCAAUGAAGGCAGGUUGAGGCCGUCAGGAGAGAUUCCAGUCGCUAGCCCCUUUGUCGCGAGGAUUUCUAGAUA